CAUGUAGGCGGUCGUUUAAGUCUGAUGUGAAAGCCCUGGGCUCAACCCAGGAAGUGCAUUGGAUACUGGCCAACUUGAGUACGGGAGAGGAAAGUGGAAUUUCGAGUGUAGGGGUGAAAUCCGUAGAUAUUCGAAGGAACACCAGUGGCGAAGGCGGCUUUCUGGACCGAUACUGACGCUGAGAUGCGAAAGCGUGGGGAGCAAACA
rnacentral:rRNA from 1 species